AUACGGAGGACGCGAGCGUUAUCCGGAUUCAUUGGGUUUAAAGGGUGCGCAGGCGGCCGUGCAAGUCAGCGGUGAAAGCCCGGGGCUCAACCCCGGAAGUGCCGUUGAUACUGCAUGGCUGGAAUGCGGUCGAGGCGGGCGGAACGUGGCGUGUAGCGGUGAAAUGCGUAGAUAUGGCACAGAACGCCGAUAUCGGAGGCAGCUCGCCAGGCCUGCAUUGACGCUCGGGCACGAAAGCGUGGGGAUCGAACAGGAUUAGAUACCCUGGUAGUCCACGCCGUAAACGAUGGGCGCUCGUCGUCGGCGGCAGACAGUCGGCGGCCAAGCGAAAGCGAUAAGCGCCCCACCUGGGGAGUACGGUCGCAAGGCUGAAACUCAAAUGAAUUGACGGGG
rnacentral:rRNA from 1 species